rnacentral:rRNA from 1 species
UACGGGGGGGGCAAGCGUUGUUCGGAAUUACUGGGCGUAAAGGGCGCGUAGGCGGCCUUCUAAGUCGGACGUGAAAUCCCUCGGCUUAACCGAGGAACUGCGUCCGAUACUGAAAGGCUUGAAUCCGGGAGAGGGAUGUGGAAUUCCAGGUGUAGCGGUGAAAUGCGUAGAUAUCGAUCGGAACACCCAUGGCGAAGGCAGCUCGCUGGCCUAAAACUGACGCUGAGGCGCGAAAGCGUGGGGAGCAAACAGG